rnacentral:lncRNA from 1 species
AAUAAAAUGAUAUUAAAAACUUAAUUAAAAAGACUCUAAAAAUAGCGAUUGAUGAAAACUCAUCACAACCCCAAACUUAAUCUGUUGCUUGUCCUCAAGGAACAAUGCUUUCAAAAGAGUGCAACUCAACCUCAAACACCAAACCAAACAUUCAUGUUAAUCUAUCUCCGUAAUCAAUAAGAACAAAACAUGUCAUUUUACAAAAUUAUCAUGCUCACACGGUCACUUUCAUCUACUAACAAACAAUUGGAAAUUCAAAACAAUUCAUCCAACAUUCAUCCAUCAAGCUCAAUUCUCUUUUCACACAAUCUCACCAAAAUUCUCUCAAGUGUUUAGGGACAUACACUCAAUCAACACAAUCUACACCUUUCUACCAUAGGCUUGCAAGGAUUCUAAAAAUCGAUCGACAUACAAUUAAUAUGCACCUUUCGAGGACUUUUCGGGUUAUAGCGUGACUUUGGUUUAUUGAAGGGUUGAUAUUUUUGGGAAACUAGGUAGAAAAACUUGAAGCUUUUAAGAUCACCUAUUUCAAACAAAAGUGGACAAAACAGUUUAUUCCCCCAAAAUCAUUACAUUCAUACUAGAGAACUUAAUUUUCAAUUUUUUUUCUUCUUUUCCUUAUGCAAAUGAAUUCACAAUGUGUGAACUCAUUCCAUGCUCACAUUUUUUUUUUCACAAAGAAGUCCCUCGACAAAUUUUUUUUUUAUUCAUUUUGUUUUUCAAACAUGGUGUUAUGCAUUCUCUUUAUUUAUUUUUCAUUUCUUUCACCAUUUCCUUUCUUUUCAUGAGGGACAUUCU